UUGGCACACAUCUCGCUGAAACAUGCCACCAUGGAAAUAGUUUCUCCUCUGUUAUUUACACUCAACGUAUUGGAACGUCUUACAGGCAAUUGUAUCGUGAAACAAGAUUUCCAGUGGCGUUUUGUGAAUUUACAUCACUGCCAGAUGCAACGAAUGAGCUCAAAUUAUGAACACUCGGUAAAUAUUGAGACCUGUCACCUUUGAUUUCAUAGAUGAUCGCUAAUCGUGUAGAAUGACACCAUCAUUUACCUAAGGGAGCUUUUAAGCUGGAAUGGACAGUGUAAAAGAUGUUUCCAUGCAAUAGAAUGGAUUGAUUCGCUCCAUGAGAGAAUUCACCAGCGCAAGUACCAAACGGUAACUCCUUUGAGGAAUUUUCCCGUGCCAUCUACCAGAGGACAAUGCAUCUUGACUGGGUCAGGUAGAAUAAAAAGUAGUAUGUUUUAUUCCAGGGAAAAAAUUCAAAAGUAAAAACUUUGUUAAAGGAUGCGACUAAACUUACUUUGGUGAAUUUCUUGAUACAUAUUUUAUAAUGUAAAAGUUACAAAAUACAAAUUUAAAUUAUUUUUCAUAAAUGCUUUAAACCAUAACCAGUGAAAUUAGAGAGUAAAAGAAAGAGAACUUGAUCCAGUCUGUUAAUUAGAUAGUAUAAUAAUACGUCAAAAGAGCUUAUUUGUUGUGAGGACAUUUAAAAUGUCCUACUUUCUAAGAAUAAUUGCCUUGGUUACAUGAAAAUAAUUUAAUUUUGUUUCUACCAU